rnacentral:rRNA from 1 species
UACGUAGGGGCAAGCGUUGUCCGGAAUCAUUGGGCGUAAAGCGCGCGUAGGCGGCCCGGUAAGUCCGUUGUGAAAGUCGAAGGCUCAACCUUCGAAAGCCGAUGGAUACUGCCGGGCUAGAGUACGGAAGAGGCGAGUGGAAUUCCUGGUGUAGCGGUGAAAUGCGCAGAUAUCAGGAGGAACACCGGUGGCGAAGGCGGUUCUCUGGGCCUUACCUGACGCUGAGGAGCGAAAGCAUGGGGAGCAAACAGG